GAAUUUUGGGCAAUGGGCGAAAGCCUGACCCAGCAACGCCGCGUGAAGGAUGAAAUCCCUCGGGAUGUAAACUUCGCAAGAAUAGGAAGAAUGAACGAGCGCUAAUACCGUUCGUGAUGACGGUACUAUUUGUAAGCUCCGGCUAACUCCGUGCCAGCCGCCGCGGUAAUCCGGGGGGAGCAAGCGUUGUUCGGAUUUACUGGGCGUAAAGGGCGCGUAGGCGGCCAGCGCAAGUCAGUUGUGAAAUCUCCGGGCUUAACUCGGAACGGUCAACUGAUACUGCGCGGCUAGAGUGCAGAAGGGGCAACUGGAAUUCUCGGUGUAGCGGUGAAAUGCGUAGAUAUCGAGAGGAACACCUGCGGCGAAGGCGGGUUGCUGGGCUGACACUGACGCUGAGGCGCGAAAGCCAGGGGAGCGAACGGG
rnacentral:rRNA from 1 species